AAAAUACUAUUCGGACUUUAGAAGUGUGAAACAAAUACGACCCUUGGAAAACUCCUUGCAGUAGAAUGCCUUCACGCUCAUCCAAUGCCGCUAACAUAAAUGGUGAGUGACUUUCUACGUCAUAGAAAGCAAACAAAUACCUCGCACGUCAUGGUUGGGAAUUUCAUGGCAUCUUUUACUUUAAUCACCUAAUGGCAAAAAUCCAACUCUUGUAGUGGUAUCCUACAUGGCCGAAUCUAACAAAGCUUCAGAAGAGGCUGUGUUAAAAGUUUGCCGUGUACUCCACUUCCACUUCGGAUUUUCUCGAUCCACUUGGCUGAAAAUAUAAAAAGCCACGCGGCACUUUCGCAUUGAGGUAAAAAAAGAAAGCCGCCAAAUUACCUCGUUUGUUGGUUCUUGACUUGGCUUGCGUUGCGCGAGCGUUACGUGAUUUAGGGCCGCAAGCGAUGGUGGCCUGCGAGGAAUAGUGAGGCUAUACUUUCCCAUGGAAAGCCUCGGCUGCAAAGCAGCAAUUUCUCACCUCGGCUGUGCGGCCGCACCGAGAAUCGCAAGAUCGCUAUUACCAGGUUUGCGAAUCCCUGUAAGUCCCUUGAAGCAUGGUAGAUCCCUCUUGAUCAGAGCUUCAUCACCUGGAAACCUCCCUGUAAGCAAUGGUAACGGUCAGAGAAAGAAAAAUGACGCUCUCCAAGAGACAAUCUUUCAGCUAGAGGGGCUGUUGAAAGAACCUGGUGAGGUGUUGAAUGACAUCGGCGAACAGCUCUCAGCCAAGGACUUGCAGCUCGUUCUCUCUUACUUUGCGGAAGAAGGUAGAGAUUCUUGGUUUGCGCUGGAAGUCUUCGAGUGGAUGCAAAAAACCAACCGAGUGGAAAAUGACACACACCAAUUGAUGAUGUCGAUCAUGGUGAAUUGGGCGAUGAAGCUGGUGGAACAAGAGAAACCUGUGGAACAAGUGAAAGCGCUGUUAGAAGACAUGUACUGCGUGGGCCUAACUCCAGAAUCGCGCAUUAUGCACUCUAUAGUAGCUGCCUACUGGGAAAAAGGAAAGGCGUCCGAGGCACUUACUUUUGUAAAGGAGGUGAUGAGCUCCAAGUGGUACCAAGACCGAGCUGACGAUCCUCUACAAUAUCUCAUCGUAAAGAUGGUCUCCAGCAAGCAAUCCAAGCAGGCGAUUCGACUAGUGACCGAGGUCCGAAAUGGUGGUCUACUGUUGAAAGGCACAACGUACAGCGCUGCGAUGCUGGCUGCAGUUCACGAACAAGAGCAGCUGAGCUUUGCUGUUCACCAGCUGCGAAAGUAUCAGAAGAAAGGCGUCAUUAGCAUCGAAGGCAGCGACAAGUCCAUAAGAACUUACGAGGCAUCGUUGCAUCGUCAAGCCGAGCAGUUUACUCAAUGGGCAGCCGAGGACGAGCAGCCGCAGGAACUUAUGCCGACGAUCUACGAAAGACUGCUAGCAAUGUACUGUCUGGCAGGCAAA
rnacentral:lncRNA from 1 species